GCGCUUGCUCUGGCAGCACACAUACUAAAAUUGGAACGAUACAGAGGUUAGGAUGGCCCCUGUGCAAGGAUGACACGCCAAUUCGUGAAGCGUUGCAUAUUUUU